GUUCAACUUCAACAUGCACACCAGUGUCAGCAUUGGUUGUUGAUCCUUUUGCAAGUCAAGCAUUAGAAAUAGCUAAAGACUUGAACCUCUUAUCUUUUGUAUAUUUCCCACUUUCUGCCAUGAUAACUUCAUUACACUUCUAUUGUCCGACACUGCAUAAACAAGUUUCAUGUGAAUACAAAGAUCACACUGACCUUAUUCAGAUUCCGGGAUGUCUACCUAUUCUCGGCAAAGAUCUUCCUCCCGAAUUUUUUCAUGAUCGAUCUAGUGUUGCUUACAGUAUUUUUCUUCUACAUUCCAAGAACUUGUCUCUUGCUCAUGGUUUCUUGGCGAAUAGUUUCUCAAAAAUGGAGGCAAGUACAGGGAGAGCCUUGCAGGAGGAGCACAACAAAACCACCAAAUUAGUUUAUAUGGUUGGACCAAUCAUACAAAGUGGUUCAAAUUGUAGUGAAGAGUCAAAUGGGUCAAUCUGUUUGAAGUGGUUGGAGAAUCAAACACCAAACUCAGUUUUGUAUGUGUGCUUUGGAAGUGGAGGAACUUUAUCUCAACAACAAACCAAUGAACUAGCUUUGGGGCUGGAAUUGAGUGGUCAGAAAUUCUUGUGGGUUUUGAGAGAACCUAGUAAAUCUAAAGAUGUAGAUUACAAAAUUGCUUCAAUAGGAAAUGAUGAUUAUGACCUAUUAAAGUACUUACCACAUGGGUUCUUAGAUAGAACCAAAGAACAAGGGUUAGUUGUUCCUCUUUGGGCACCACAAACCAAAAUCCUAAGUCACAAUUCAACAGGUGGAUUUUUAACACAUUGUGGUUGGAAUUCGACGCUUGAGAGUAUUGUGUCCGGAGUGCCAAUGAUAACUUGGCCAUUGUUUGGUGAUCAAAUAAUGAAUGCUAUUUUAAUAGUAGAGGGACUUAAAGUGGGUUUGAAGAUAAAAUUUAAUGAGAAUGGCAUUGCAGAAAGAGAGGAAAUUGCUAAGGUGGUUAGACAUCUAAUGCUCGGAGAAGAACGGAGUGAGAUUCGACAAAGAAUUGAAGAGCUUAAAGAUGAUGCAGCUUGUGCAUUAGCAGAAGAUGGGUCCUCUACAAGAGCACUUUGUGAAUUCGGUACUCGAGUAGCAAACUUUUCGUUAUAAAUGGAAAUUUCAAUUAUCAACGUUUUAUAGGGAAAGCUGUGCAAAGAAGAAAAGAAUCGAGGGAAUAUGUAUUUGUCGAAUAGAAAUCAUGUGAGAGUUUUGGUGUCUAUAAUGUUUGCAUAAUUGCAUUGAAUAAUUUAAUACUUGAUCUAUUAAACUCGAGUUUGUUCGCCACACAACUGCUACUUGCUAUAUCUAUUUUAUUUUCUUACAUUGAAUAAUUUUAUUUUCUUGCAUGAAAAGCUAAAUUAACUCUAUUGGAACCAAAUUAGGUCUGUUUAAUGUUUCAUUUCAAUCUUGUUAUAUGUUUGUAGCGAGUUAGUAACCAUGUCAAAAGAUGUUCAACACUCUGUAACAUUUCUUGGUAACAAUUUGUUGUCCCUUGGAGGACUCAAUCCCAAUGAAACGAAAAGUGUGGUAAUUCUUAUACACCACUUUUAUUUCUUAACACUUACUGCUAUUUUAAGGCAUAUGAUAAAUUUAACAUUGGUUUGGUUAAAUUCAAAGCACAUACAAUUUGCUAACAAGUACGUUCUCACACAAAGAAAAUAGAAUUUGUUGAGAUGUACAUUGUAGACAGGGUCGGACCUGAGCAGGGUAGGGUGUGGCAAUAGCCACACCAGCUCAGGCCCAAGUUUUUUUUUAACAAGUGUUCUCAAACUCUAGUGUUAACCCGUAAACUAGCUCAAGUUUAAGUUUUUAAAUGUGAAUUUAGUAUUAACUCGGCGUUAAACUAGCUCAAGUUUAAGUUUUUAAAUGUGAAUUUAGUAUUAACUCGGCGUUAAACUCGUCCAUUAAGAGUUAUAGGGCUUGGUCCUUGUAGAGGAUAAGGUGAACAAGUAAUUGAAAUAUCCCUUUUUAUUCAUGGAUAUCCAUUAAUUUAUUUGUUUUGUGUCUGUGGUGGAUUUUAUUUGCAAAUAUUCGCAGAUGCGGAUUUUUUGCCAUCCCUACACCCAAUUAAGCUAACAAAUUGAAAUACUUUAGACAACUCAAUUUCUUGUCUGCCAGCAAAUUUAUACAUACAUUUUUCUAUUGAUUUUGAACCUAGAAUUGGUACAUGUGAGCUAUUUACUAAACAGGUUUGGUCCUCUGCCUAGUUCUUGAGCUCGGAUAAGUGUUAUUCGACCAUCAUCUUCUUCAUCCAAAAGUCUUGAUGAUAUUUUCUAGGCAACUUCUUGUUCCAUAGUUCGGAUGGUAUUUCCCCAACAUCUUAUUCUUAUGUCUGGAUGAUAUAUUUUCUUCCCUCAGCUUCAGUAAGCCAAACCUCCCCUCUAAGUUCUCAUACAUGGCUGAGUAAGAGAACUCCCACCCUUAGCAAAAAGCAAGAGAAAAAAAGAAAACCGUCCUUAAAGCUCUCAUGUUUGGUUCAAAGAGGAUCAAGGUCUUCACCUUCAUCAGGCACGCUCCACUUCUAGGCUAGUCGCUGAUGGGAAGUUGCACUACAUUCACCUUCAUCCUAGGGUUCCCUUUGAGGGAAGACAUGAAAAUAUACAUCUUGGUCGAUGCCUUGUUCUUAUAGAAUACAGUGUCAACAACACUAGAGGAGUAAAACAGAUAUCAAGUCACAUAUCCCCUGAGAUGUUGACACAUAUUUUAAAACGAAUUAAGGAGCUCAUUGCUUUCCUAUUUACACAACAAUACUACUAGUCCUAACUAAACUUGCAGGUCAAUGUGCAAAUCAACUGUGUCUAUAAGUUAACUCCUUCAUCAAAAUAACUUUUGGACAAGCUAAAAAAGUGUGCAGUCAACUUAAAGCCUUAAAAAGGACAAUCUACGAUAAUUUCAUUUAACAAAAGCCUACAAAUCAUUCUUCCAUAGCACCAAACUCAAAGACUUCUAAAUCAUUCUUCAACGACUCCAAACUCAAAAGGCCUCCAAAUUAUUCUUCCACAACCCCAAGCGCAAAGGCCUCGAAACCGUUAUUCCACCACCACAAGCUCAAAGCCCUCAAAAUUAAUUUUCCUCGACCCCAAGAUGAAAGGCCUAUAAGCUAUUCUUCUUAAACCCCAAGAUGAAAGGACUCUAAAUCAUUCAUCCACGGCCCUGACAAAGGUACACCAAUACAUUCAUCGACAUCCUAACAAAGGGAAUCAUAUGCAUUCGAGCGUGUUCCCAAGAAUAAACUCUAUCAACGACCCACAAAAAUGGUAUUCGGACCAUCCGACCCCUACAAGUCGACCUAGAAGGCAUUUCAGACAAUUUUAUCAAGAAGAUGUGUAGUACCCGUUUUUUGGAAUCAUUGACACGCAACAAUAAGGUUAGAUCUACAUAAAUUAACAAUCUACCUCUCUUCUUAGUCAACGUUUGACCCCCUAAGGCCUCCAAGAACGAAUUUUUUCAUUAUCAAGGAUACUGGACCCAAAGGGCACAUAUACAACAUGCUUUUAUUUCAAAGACUUGGUCCUGCUAUGAGCCAUCAUUUGACUCCCUCAACUACACUAAUACAUUGAAGAGGGACCCCAAAGGUCGUAGAGAUACAACACACUUUCGGUCCAACGUUUGACGAAAAAACAAGCCAUCACCUUACAUUGUCAACCAACGGCUUCAUAGGAAAUUGUUCCAUACUAAAUCAAGGCCCAAUCGAUAAACGGGUCGGGUCACCCUAAGUCAUUAGCUUAUAAAAGAAUCAACAUAUAGACAAUCCCUAGCAAGAGUCACAUUAGAAGAUGGAGUGGUCAGGACCAUUGAUGGAACAGGUAUCGUCUGAUUCAUUCUAGAGCAAUAAUGGAACAAUGACAUUCUGUUUGAGUGAGAAACACUAAUUGAAUAAGGACAGUCUGAUAAAAAAAAAGAUCAUGAUCUAUCUACAACUAUCUGAAAAGACAAUUGUUCAAGAUUGGAUUUUGGGGUCCAUUAAACCAUAAUCCACCCACUCUAAAGACUAACUAGCAACAUUUUCUAAGGUACACACUUUCUAACCUAAAAAAACCUCUCGCCUACACACUUACUGACUUGAAUAUAUGAGUGUUUGUAGGUACACCCCCACCUCAAGGGCUGAUGACGUGGGUAUAUCCAACCACUACCAUAUGAUGGUCCAAAUAGCCUUUUCCACCAAAUUAUCGUCAUCGUUGGGAAUCUUAGUUCCAUAAUAAUUCCACAUCCACCACUGAUGUCUAAGACAAGGGUUUCAACCACGCUCAACCAUUGAGGCUUAAGGCAUGGGACCUUCCAAGCACUGUCAUCGAAAGGUCCGAUGGACAACCUUCCAUCGUCGUCCAACAUACAAAAUCCGAACAUUUGGUCUUAUUAAUUUUGCACACUUAUAUCAAUAUUAAAAAGUUUAUGAAAAUCUCUAAUCUCAAUUUCUUUUGAUGAAUUACAAUAUUUUUCUCAUGUUGAUGGAACCACUUUUAAUCUUAAAAUUAUAUAUAAAAAUGCGAUGUUUUUGGUUUAUUUAUAGUGUAUUUAAUCUUUAUUAUAAGGUUAAAUAAGUUCUUGAUCCCUAUAAAUUUUUUAAAGUUUCUUUUAAUCUUAAAAUUUUCCAUUAGGUUUUAGUCCCUCAAAGAUUUUUCGUCACCAGUUUUGAUCCGUACUUUUAUGUAAAAUCAUGUGUAUCUUUCAAAAAAAUUAUUCUUUUUUGCAAUCAUGUUUGGUACAUUUUUCUUGUUCAAAAAAAAAAUGUUUGGUACAUUUUUGAAACCUCUUUUAAAUUAUAUUUCUUUACAAAGGAUUAAUUUUUUCUGAAUGCUUAAACAUUCAUAUUUUUCUUAAAAAAUUAUAAAUUUUUGUGCGAGAGAUCGUUUUCAUAUUCUAAUCAUAUCUAAAAAAGUUCACUCAAAGAUUUGAAAGUAAUACAUGAUUUGACUAAAAAAAUAAUAAAAAAUCAUGACGAAAAACAUUUGCAGGACCAAAAUUUAUUGAAAUCUUUUAAAUAUUUAUGGAGACCGAAACUUAUUUCACCCUUUACUAUAUAACAUAGUUCUAUUCACUUUCCACUAUCAAGUUAAUAAAGUUUAACUUUUUUGAGGGAAAAUUUUGACUUUAUUAAUCUUGAAUCUUGAUUUUCAACAUAUAUUUAUCGACAGAAAUUAGAAAUUGAGUCCCAUAACUACAGUUCAGUUGAUAGUUGCAAUGACAAUAUGCGAAUGUCAGGGUUUGAAUCCUGAACUCUUUACUUCUUUAUAUUUAAAAUGUGUGACCUCGACACCAGGUUACUUGACAAACAAAAAAUUGGAAAUAGAAAUUACAAUUUUUUUAAUACCAACAUAUUAAAUCAUGUAUUUUUCAAACAAUGCUUUAUCUUUUUUAUUUCAAUUUUUUUAAAGAUCUUUUCUAUUUCAAAUUCAAUCGUACAUUUUAUAUCUUUAAUAUUGAUUCCCAUUUUUUUCUCAGAUGGAGGGGACACCGACACAGUUAAUUCUUUUACAGAACAAACUCAGUUGAAAACUUCCAAUAAAUCAACAUCCCAAGAAAUCAACCCCAAAAAAUUGUAUCAUCUAAACAAUGCAACAAUCUACAAGACAACAACAGAAAGAACAACAUUGUUGUGAAGGAAACUCAAAUACAACCAAAUCCAAUGAAAUAAAAAUUCCAUUGUAUAUUAUUUGAUUGCCGCUUGUGGCCGGUCUCCAUUAAAAAAAGAAAAUAUAAUAAUAUUGUUAAUUACUAUGACAAUUAUUUGUAGGCACUUCACUACUAUAUGAUUUUUAUAGUAACUUUCUAAACUUUGUGGUUCUUUAUGCUUUUGGCAAGUCAAAUAAAAAUAUCACAUACAACCCUAUAUUAAAAUCUAUGGAUGGCAUGGGGCCUAGUAUUCAAUUGGCUUAAUUGAUCUGUCGGUCUCUUAAUUAUUUCUUUUAUUUAAUUUGGUUCAUAAGUUUUAACUUUCUCAAACACAUCCCUUAACUCAUAUGUCGUUACUCAACGUGGUCCCCUCAAAAUAGAGAUCGUUGGAUAAGGGAGAUCUAUUAGAUCUUAUAGUGUAUCACAAACACUUGAUUUAUUUACUUUCUUCAUGUUCUUCUCCAUCUUCAUCUUCUUCCUCAUCUUCAUCUUCAUUCAUCUUUCAUCAUCUUUAUAAAAUAAAAUAAAAAACCCAACUUUUUUCUUAAAAAUUUAAUCUUAAAUUCUUCUUCUCUCAAAUUAUUUAAAUCCACAUUUCAGCUUGAUCAACAAUAGAAAAUCAUCACAACCCUCUUCCCAACGCAAACACUUCAACUUAUUUUAUUAAUUCAAUCAAUUCCUUAAUCUAGAGAGAAUUUCAAAGCAAAACAAAAUGAAGAGAAAAAAAUUAAAAUAAGCAAAACGAAUAACAGACGGAAGAAGAGUAAGAAUUGCAGAUCUGGUUUUUUUUUCCUUCUUCUUCCCAUGUUACUUCUCUUUCUAAACACUUUCGAUUACACACCCAGCUCUUCCAAGACUGUUCUUCUUAACAACGAAUCACCUAACAACGGAUCUAGAUUUAAAGUUGAUAGCUGAGAAGGAACACGAUCAAAGCUAAUCCUUUAUGGAACAAAAAUUCGAUGAACAGUAACCUGGGUUUGGUGUUUUUUUGUUUUGUUUUAAUUUUGAAACAGCUUAUAUUAAUAGAAGACCUUGCACAAGAAGUGCAAAAGGCCACUGUUACUUACAGGAAGCCAAAACUGGCGCAAACAAAACACCUAAAGCACUGGAAACAACACACUGAAACCUGGCUAACCAACCAAAAAUCUGCUGCUAAAAUACAACUGAUAAUCAGCCGAAAACAACAUAUCAAAAACAGGAAAAAAUCAAUCCUACAGGCCUGGGAAAACCUGUCCAUCAGCGCACUUCACAACAACAAACACCCAGUUUUGGUGUUCUUGUUGUGCGUCAAUACCGACAUUUCGAUUUGAUUUAGCGUUUGAAUUUUGUUAUUGAUUUGGAUUUAGUGUUUGAUUUGGAUUCCACAACUGGAUUUUGUUAUUGAUUUGGAUUUGGAUUCUUCAUCUUUGUUAUUCAUGAUUCUUCUUUUUGUGAACAAUAACCUUUUUGUUUCAAACCGUAAAAAAAAAAAAAAAAAAAACCUUUGUUUCAUGAUUCUUUAUCUUUGAUUUAGAGAUUUUGGGUUUUUUUCGGAUUUUUUUUAUGGGCUUUUUAAAGUUGGGUAGUUUAUUUUAUAAAGAUGAUGAAGGAUGAAUGAAGAUGAAGAUGGGGAAGAAGAUGAAUAUGGAGAAGAACAUGAAGAAAGUAAAUAAAUCAAGUGUUGGUGAUACACUAUAAGAUCUGAUAGAUCUCCCUUAUCCAACGAUCUCUAUUUUGAGGGGACCAUGUUGAUUAACGGAAGAUGAGUUAAGGGAUGUGUUUGAGAAAGUUAAAACUUAUGGGACCAAAUUGAAUAAAAGAAAUAAGUUAAGGAACCGGCAGAUCAAUUAAGCCUAUUCGAUUCUAACAAUUAAUUUUCAUGUGGAAAUUAAAACAAACUUAAAUAUUAUAGUUUGUCUCAAGAGUAUAACAUAUAAUUGCGUAAUAGUCAUUUUGAUUCUUAAAUGUGUAAUAAAUAGUUACAAUAGUCCUUUAAUAUAUUAAAAUUUCAAAAUAAUCACUGAUUUUGCAUUUUGUUAGUCAAAAUAGUCCUUGAAGCUAAAAUAAUAUUUUAAUACUCACAAUAACUCUUUUCGUAAAGGAUUAAAGUGACAAUAAGUAAGUACUUAUAAGGAGUGAUAUGACAAUAAGUAAGUACAUUAAAAGAUAAUAUUACAAUAUUAACAAAUUAUUUUAAUGUAAGGGUGUUAUACCCUAUUUUUGGACCUAAAAAAUACGGGGCCCAAUUACAUUUCAAACUUUGUCAAUUAUCAAAUUUCAACUGCACAGUUCAAAUUGUCUCUGCCUCGCAGUAUUUUCAAUCACAAUUUUACCUAUGUUUUUCUUGCAUAAAACCUUUCGAAAUGUCUUUACUUGUCUUGUAAGUCAUUCAAAAGUGUCUCUGAAUCAUUACAUUGCUUUUUCUACAGUUUAUUUCAAAAUUUGCAAAAAGUCGUACAGAAGGGUAUUUUGGUCAUUUCCUGCAGUGGGACCCAUUUUCAUCCUUGUGACUGUCUCUGAGUCUUUUCAGAUUGAUUUUUAACAUUUCAUCAGUAAACCUUGUUAAAUUCAUUUCAAACUUGCAUCUGAGUCAGUGUCAAGUCAAUUUGAAUCUGUUUAGGUCAUUUUUAGCCCUAGGGGCAUUUUGGUCAUUUCACACAAAAUUUCGGCAUAGAGAGGUUACUUUGAAGUACCUCAUUUAAGCCAUUGGUUCGUUUUAGUCCGUUUUGUCAAUUUUAUUUUUUGUUUCGCUUUACGUUUGGUCAAAUUACGUUUUUUAUUCAAUUUUAUUUUUAAUUGCAUUUUGGUCCCUCAAUUGAGGUCCCAAAAUUGCAUUUUUUGUCCAAACAGUUUUUAAUUUCAUUUCAGUCCUUACUUUCAUUUUCCAGUCCUUUUUUAUUAUUUUUUUUGCAGAAAAGGUCCCAGGGGCAUUUUUGUCCAGAAUUUUCGCACACUUCAGUCUCAGUCCAGAUGGCAUUUUCUCAUUGGCCCACAAAUACACAUGGCAGGCUAUAAAUAGAUGUGUCAGAUCCAAAUAAAAAAAUCAGAAUCAGUCACAUCACAAAAACAGAAAUUUCUUUCUCUCUCCAAAAUCAGUUAGAUCCAAAACAGAAAAUCACCAAAAAAUUCUCCAAGAACACCAAGAACAAAUCUUCACAAAAUCAACAAAUCCGAACCGGAUUCACUCAAAACCAACUCAAAUCAUCACAAAAUCAACAAAUCCGAACCGGAAUCAUUCAAAACCACCGCGAAUCAUCACACCAACACCAAAUCCGUACCGGAUUUUCGAGCAAAAGCGGCACCACCGGAGCAAAUCCGCGCGCGCGCGGCGGAGAGAAGAGGAGGCUCGGAUUUUUUUUUUCCGUUUCACGACGACGGUAACACUUUUUUCCCUCGUUUUCGCGCAUAUACACAUGUGAAAAGUUUGUUACGAAUCAAGAUUUGUAGAUCUAAGCUUGUACGUUCGGAUUUUUGAAAUUUUGAGGCCGGAUUCGGACUCUAGAGCGAAAAGGAUAUCUAGAUCCGUAAGCUUUUUUACAAAAAGAGUGAAAAAAUUCCGAAAGUUCAAGUGUAGAUCUACGACGAAUCUCUCACCCCUUUUUAAAACUAGCACCGGAUUUGAGUAGAGGAGGUGGUGACGGAACUUUUGAUGUAAAAAUUUUGAAAAAAAAAUAAGUUUGAUUUUUCCGGCGCGGUGGCGCCGCCGCCGGAAACCGGCCGGCCGCCGCGCCGGAACCACCACCACCACUCAUGUCCGCCGGCGGGACUUUUAGAGAGAAGGGAGAGCUUCUCUCUCUAAGUUUAACUUAGAGAGAGAAGAGGAAAAUGUUUUGUGAGUUUUUUGUGUAGAAAAUCCUUUUUAUACUCCCUCCGAUCCCACGCGCGCGCGUGCGUGCUCUUGUUGUGUUCCCUCGCUCUGUGAACCAUCAGAUCUGGAUUGUUCCAAGAUCUGAUGGCUGCUGUGUGUUUGAUUUUGAAUCCUGUGCAUGACUUUUUGUGUGGAAUUUGGUAUAUCUUCUGUUUGAACCGUUAGAUCUUUGAUCUAACGGUCACUGUGCUUCCUGCAUUUUACACUAUCUUUUAUGCUUUUUUCUGGACCCUUUGAUCUUUGAUCAAAUGGCUGUGAUGUGAUCUUGAGAGCUUGAUCUGGACCUCUGGAUUCAUCCAACGGUCCAGAUUAAAUCCUGCUGAGUUUUUUUUUAAUUGCUUUUUAAUUGUGUUUUAAAUACCUUUUUUACACUUUCUUGGUGUUUUAUGCUUCUAAAAAAUUUUCUAAAAAUAUUUCCCCAUCAUUUUAAUUUUUCCUCUAAGUAUUAGAAUUUAUUUGCUUAUUUUUGCAUUUAUUUCCUUUACUUUGUUCUUUAAUUUUUGCUCAUUAAAAUUCCAUAUAUGUUCUUGAUGCAUUUUUACAUAUUGUGAUUGAUAAAUUCUCAUGUUUUUACCCCUUUUUAUUGCAUAUUCAUUUGGUGCAUUUUUCAUCAUUCCCAUUAUAUUUUUCCUUGUUUCACUAACAUUUUGUUCCUUAUGUGACUUCACUCAUAGCAUUUCACUAUCUCCUCCACUUUCUUUAGCUUAGCAUUUAUUUUUGCAAAUUUUAAUUCAUUCGGUGAUGUAAUUUGUUAUCAUUGGUUUGUAGCUUGGCAAAGAGGCCAUAGAAUGUAUUUAGGCAAUUUUUGUAAUAUGGACUAUGGACACUAUGGCGCACCGGCACGCACACACUCACCCUAGAUGUAUGCCUAGGAUUGCAUGUGUAGAUGUAUGGCUAGGAUUGCAUGGUUAGAUGAAUGCUUAGGUUUAAACACUUAGAGAAAAUCCAAUUUUUUCCAAAAAAUAUGCAAACAAAUUCGCUUCAAAUAUUUUUCAUAAAAAUGGAGUCAAAACUCCAACAAUUUUUCACCUUUUAUUUUCUUAAUAAAAUUCUCAAAUAAAUCUAAUCAUUUAGACUUUUUUGCAAAAUCACUAAACAAACCCCCACUUUUUCAUACUCUAAUGCUCAUGAAGCCUCUCAAUCCCCUUCUUCAAAAUCAUUUUCAAAAUUUAAAAUCAAACAAUUAAAACAAAAAAAACAACAAGUCUUUUUAGCAAGAACUACGCCGGUUUUGAUCCCGUAAAACGGUACGUAGGCAAGGGACUUUAACCCCUCCAAGCCGAAAUAAAAUCAAAUUCUACUUCUUCUUACCCCCAUUCUUCACUAAUCACACCUUCAUUUUUUUUUACAAAUAGUCUCUAAAAAUAAAGCGCGCGUAUAAGCUUAGAAAGAUGGUUCUCGUGGGAUACUACGAUUGCUAUGGGUGCCUAGCCCCUUCCCAUAGCAAAAACGACCCCGAAUUCGGAAAAUCAAGGGUUUUUCUCCUUUUACCCUUCCCAAGAAAAAAGAGAGAUAUCAACGGUCAAAAGGUUCAAGUCCAAUUAAUGGCUUGGCACCCAAAAACCACGAUAACAAAGGGACUCUUUUGAUUAAUGAAGUACACAAUCAACGACAAUUUUCAAAUUUCGAUACAUUGAUGGACCAUUAUUGCUACUUACCAAAAUGACUAUUACCCUUAUAUAAUUUGAAUGACCAAACCAUAAACCACAAACGAUCAACUGCAAUUUCAUGGCUAAAGGAACUCAUAUAGCAGUAGUUUCAAUUCCUCUAUUUAGCCACCAAAGUUCUAUUAUUGAGUUUUGCAAGAGAUUAAUUCAUCUCCAUCACCACAUUCAUGUCACUUGCAUCUUCCCCACCAUUGAUGCACCAAUCCCUGCCACCCUCAAAUUACUUGAGUCUCUUCCGUCAUCCAUAAAAUGCACUUUCCUCCCUCCAAUAAACAAACAAGACUUACCACAGGAUUUUAUUGGGGAAAACGAUUUGGCGACCGCUCAAUCCAUGCCAUGUCUUCGGAACUUGUUGAGGUUACUUUGUUCAAUUUCAACAUGCACACCAGUGUCAGCAUUGGUUGUUGAUCCUUUUGCAAGUCAAGCAUUAGAAAUAGCUAAAGACUUGAACCUCUUAUCUUUUAUAUACUUCCCACUUUCUGCCAUGAUAACUUCAUUCAACUUGUAUUUUCCGACACUGCAUGAACAAGUUUCAUGUGAAUACAAAGAUCACAUUGAUCCUAUUCAGAUUCCAGGUUGUCUACCUAUUCG
rnacentral:lncRNA from 1 species